rnacentral:rRNA from 1 species
UGGGGAAUUUUGGACAAUGGGCGAAAGCCUGAUCCAGCAAUGCCGCGUGCAGGAUGAAGGCCUUCGGGUUGUAAACUGCUUUUGUACGGAACGAAAAAGCUUCUCCUAAUACGAGAGGCCCAUGACGGUACCGUAAGAAUAAGCACCGGCUAACUACGUGCCAGCAGCCGCGGUAAUACGUAGGGUGCGAGCGUUAAUCGGAAUUACUGGGCGUAAAGCGUGCGCAGGCGGUUAUGUAAGACAGAUGUGAAAUCCCCGGGCUCAACCGGGGAACUGCAUUUGUGACUGCAUGGCUAGAGUACGGUAGAGGGGGAUGGAAUUCCGCGUGUAGCAGUGAAAUGCGUAGAUGUGCGGAGGAACACCGAUGGCGAAGGCAAUCCCCUGGACCUGUACUGACGCUCAUGCACGAAAGCGUGGGGAGCAAACA